AAAGUAAAUAAAGUAAAGCGUGGACAAAAAGUAAAUAAAGUAAAGCGUGGACAGAAAGUAAAUAAAGUAAAGCAUAGACAGAAAGUAAAUAAAGUAAAGCGUAGACAGAAAUUAAAUAAAGUAAAGCAUAGACAGAAAUUAAAUAAAGUAAAGCAUAGACAAGUAAAAUAAAUAAAAGCGAUAAAACAAGAACCUGCUCCAAAC
rnacentral:lncRNA from 1 species